GAUGAACGCUAGCGGCAGGCUUAAUACAUGCAAGUCAAGGGGGUAGCAAUACAACCGGCGCACGGGUGAGUAACGCGUACACAACAUACCAUAUACUGGGGUAUAGCUUUGGGAAACUGAAGGUAAUCCCCCAUAACAUUGCGAGAGGGCAUCUGAUUGCAAUUAAAGUUUCGGCGGUAUAUGAUUGGUGUGCGUUUGAUUAGCUAGUUGGUAGGGUAACGGCCUACCAAGGCGACGAUCAAUAGCUGGCGUGAGAGCGCGACCAGCCACACUGGAACUGAGACACGGUCCAGACUCCUACGGGAGGCAGCAGUAGGGAAUAUUGGACAAUGGAGGAAACUCUGAUCCAGCCAUGCCGCGUGAUAGAUGAAGGCCCUCUGGGUUGUAAAUAUCUUUUAUCUGGGAAGAAACAAUCUUAUUCUUAAGAUCUUGACGGUACCAGAGGAAUAAGCACCGGCUAACUCCGUGCCAGCAGCCGCGGU
rnacentral:rRNA from 1 species